ensembl:snRNA U6 U6 spliceosomal RNA
GUGUCACUUUGGCCACACAUAUACUAAAAUGGGAGACACACAGAGAAGAUUAGCAUGGCCCUCACACAAAGACGACAUGCAAAUUCAUGAAACAGUCCAUAUUUUU